UUUAUCUCACAGAAUGUGUUUUAUUUUGGUGAUUGUUGCUGUAAUUGAAUGGCGUUGUAGUUUCUUUUAAGCUACAGAAGUAGUUUACCCCAGAACCCAAUCCAGUUUGUUUUAAACUUACAAUCCUGACGAUUGUCUUUAAGAACGGAGAUUCAAACGAUGCUUUUGUUGAAGCAUGUUCAGCUCUUGGCUCCUGAAGCAUCUGAUGUGAUAAAUCCUUUGUCAUUUAUUAAUGAAGGUCUUUAAUUGGAAUGUUCUUUCAGUUUGGUUUAUGACUGACUGAACUUGCACAGUGCAACAAAGCAAAAUUAAUUUGCUUUUAUAUAAUUUGUUUGUUUCAAAUGGAUGGAUCUGUAUUAGUACUUAGUAGAUGGAUAGUUAGACAUCUAAUAAUCCAUAUAAAUUCAAUUGAGUUACAUUGAAUUAUCAAACUUAUUCAAAUGCAAACGAAAUUGAUGGAAUUCAACUGGUCAAAUCUAUCAAUGAAUCCAUUUUGAAAGUUGAGUGAGGACUCUCAGAUAUCACUUGAUAUGAUAGC